AUUUAAAACGAUUCCACUAAGGUUUAAGGGCAGAUCAUUGAAUUUAAAACAAUUCCACUAAGGUUUAAGGGCGGAUCAUUGAAUUUAAAACGAUUCCACUAAGGUUUAAGGGCGGAUCAUUGAAUUUAAAACGAUUCCACUAAGGUUUAAGGGCGGAUCAUUGAAUUUAAAA